CUUGAGAACUUGUAUAGCCUGACCUUUCUAGUGGAUCAAUCUCUUCAAAAGCAAGAUCCAUGGAGCAUCCAAGUCUUUGCAAACGUUUUGCAAGGUAGAAGCAACGUUUUCACCCUGCCUGGAAUAAAGUCUCGUCUGUGCAACGAGAGCCGUGCGUGUCAGUGCUGAGCCCUACCCGCCCUGGCGUGACUGCGGAUCCUCUCCCGUCCCACCCCAUCAGCCCCAGCCGAGCAGCCUCCAGCCAUUUGCGUCUGAAAGGCGACUUGAACUGACGCGAAAGGCGACGCAGUCAAUGGCUUAUUGCUGGUGUCGGUGUGUGCUAAUUAUACCCUGGGUAAUCACCCUACAGAACAUGUGAACAGCUUUCAAACUGCCGGGGCUAUUUUUACUAAACCUCGGCUAUAUUUACCGUGCAUUCGGUUGGUGGCACUCGAGCAUCCCCUUUCUGGUGUAUUUAUAGCUAAAAGCAGCGCUGAAGGUAAUGGGCCGGGACACGAGCUCUGGGGGAGGCUAAUCCCACCCUGGCCAUGCCGUCCCUGCCAGCCGUGAUCCCUGCGCUCCUGCUCUCUCCCGGGCAGGUGAGCAUGGGCGGCCAAAGGUCGGAGCUUUUCCUUCCGUCUUCGGUUUGGAACGGUGCCACACCGCACCGGGAUCCCACGGGAUCCCAAAGGGCCCGGAAUGUCCAUUUCAGCUGUCUCAAACUCUGUACCCAACAAAUGGAGUGGGGGGAGCCUGCAGACUCCAGAAGACUCUCCAUUAUUCAGACGAGGGUAAAAAUAAAGGCAUAGAAAGCAGAACUUGCUAACUAAUCUUUCAUGGCACAUAUAGUACUCAUAUAAUACCAGCAUUAUAAGAACUUGUCUUUCUGAUGGGGAAUGGUAUAAAUUAAAGCAGUUUAAAAUGUAAAUCAUGUAAUCUGUAAGAGGAGAUAAAAUCCUGCAUAAAAAUGUACAAGGCUGAAGGCAAAAAUCAUACAGCAUUUUCCUUUUUGUAUCAAAGGCCAAAAGAUAAAUCCAAAGGUCAGUAUUUGAAUGUAUGACAUGUCACCUGCUUCCAAUGAGGGGCAAGCACACAACAUGUAGUAGUCUGUGAUUAAAACUGAUAAUUUAGUUCAUGUGCAUAAAUAUAGGUUUUCUACAAUAUUGUCUAGCAAAACUCAAGUUCUUCAGGUGACAAACUGUGAGAGGAACAAAUUUCAACAAUUCUGAGAAAGGACAAGCUCAGGGUCUACUGCUGAUGCUUUACAAACUGAAGAAAAUUACUUUUAAAAAACCACUUUACCCCAUCUCUCCUAGUUUUGACUGCAGGGGCUACUCUGUCCUCAAAACACAGCUAGAAAGAUUUCAUACUCCUUUUGCUUAACCUUAAGAGUUAUCCCAUUACCAACUAGACACUGGGGAAGCAGCAUGCUUGGCUUUGUUAAGCCUCCUUGUCUUGAUACCAUUUCCUCUCUUCAGCAUAAGUUUACAGGGGAUGGCUGCCGAGCUUGUUUGGGAUUCAGCAAUACAGAUCUCCAGGAGAGUUUUCAUGUUCCCUGUGCUCUGCCUGCCAGGUUCAUGUGUGUUUUGUAGUUCAUACUUUUGCUGCCUCUUCGGAGAGAGCCAAUUCCAUUAAACUUUGGAUGAACAGUUGUGCAAGCAGACCUUGACUUUUCAGUCCACUGCCCCCUCCAGUUAAAUCCCUUCCUGUUUGGUACGUGUGGUGCCAGGUGUUGAUCCCACAGCCCUGACCUCUACCCACUCCUCAAGUCAGGAGGAACCAGAAAUGUCUUACACACUAAAUCAUUACAGAGCCCUUGCUAAUAUUUAGUAAUCAUUUGGUACCUACUGAUACCUAAAAUCAUUGUGGAUGAUCAAAGUCAACUGAGUGAAUGACAUCAAAAAUGUUACAAAGCGUUUUCUGGGCUAACAGUCCAGGUCACUAAUCCUGAAAUAAUGACUGCAGCAGACAAAAAGAGAGGGGUGCACACAGUACACUGUGCACACAUGUGGCAUAUUCCUCCAUACAACACCGAUAACUGCACUUGGAAAACUUGUCAGAUACGGCACAGAUCAAAAUGUGAUACAGUGGGUUUUUAAAAUAGGUUUUUAAAUUUUUUUUUUAAAUAUUGGGCUGUGAAAUGGAAAUUAUUUUAACAACUUUUCUGUCUAUGUAAUUGACCUCUAUGGCAGUUUUCCCAGAUUUCAGAAUUUCAGCUGUUACUUUAUAUGCAAGAGUUUCACCUUUUCCUCCCUUAACAUUUAUCUAGAAUGUAAGCUGGCUAGCAAAUUUAUACUAAUAGUUAAAAAUAGAUUGUGCAAAACAGAAAUUACGUUGGUGGGGGGAAAAUCUGCUACAGACAGAGUAGAUUGGCUUGGUCAGUACUGGUGAUACUGCCAUAUUGCAUUGCAAAGCUUUUCCCUCUCUGUGCUGCAUUGAAAAAGGAGCAACACACUGCAUUGAAAAGGCAACAAACAUCAGGCAGCAGCUCUGGCCUACAAAACUAAGAAUUGAAAAAUAUGAAGCGGCAUCCUAACAUCAGUAUGGGUAGAACAGAGUAGAGGUAGCUCUGACUUUUGGAUCUGCUGUAAAAUAAGCUGUAAAAUAAGAGAUCUGUUUUCCUGGGUUCUUCCCAUGGUUUUCAUUUCCCACUGUGCUCUGUUUGCCUGUCUGCAGUCCCUGCUCACUGCACAAGUGGAAGCAGCUGCAGCACCGAGGCCUCCCCUGCCCCUGAGGCCAAGCGAGGGCUUUGCCUCUGGUCACUGAAGGCUUGCACUGGGCAGCUGACAAAGCCACAGCCUGACAGCCAGACUGCUCAGGAUGAGCUCUUCAAACUUUGCAAUUUGCAAUCCAGAGUUUUAAGACCUAAAGUUAGGUUGAACAGCUCAGCCAUUUGUGCAGUGAGUGACACCCAGAGCUAUGGGUGCUGAUCCUAUCAGCUGUCCCAGCACUGACCAACCCCUCUGGUGAAAUUCCCACCUACAGAAAGUGAUCCAUGUUCACUGAUUGCAACAGAACAAACUUGUCUGAUUUGUGUUAUGAAGCAUGACAUCAUCAUGAAAGCUGGUGCUUCUAAUAAUAAAUUCCUGAUUGUUUUGGAUAAAUUAACCCCCCCCAACAAUGAAUUUAGAAUAACAAGUUCUCUUAAGGCAUUUUUAAGGUGUUUGAAGUUCUAGUAUCAAAAGUAAAGGCAUUACCUUCUUUAAUCAAAUGCAAAGCAGAAACUAACAUGCUUCUGAAUUGCUCUGUAUCUAAUCCCCCUCUCACUGUGCUAAAAGACAAAUAUUUUGUACUAGAGCACAAAGAAAAACAGAAAAAUAUCUAAGCAUAUAUAUUUUAUAUAAGAAUAUAAGAAAAGGAAAUUCCUGAACCAACAGUCCUUUCAGGGAAUAAUGCAAAUAUUUUUCCUUGCUGGAAGCCAGUAAUCUACUUUCUACAGGACAAGAAAAUCUCUUCAUUGGCAGUUGCCAAGCAUCUUAGGUUUUCUAAGUCAAAAAUAUAUCUGAAAACCUCCAUGGAGAACUUCAGGCAAACCAGUUCAGAUUACAGACCACUAGGCUGCAAUGGG